CCUUGACUACGUUGAGAGAUAGACGGUAUAGUCGUUGUAAUUUCAGAGUGAGAACUUAGCUAGCUACGCGUCAUUAAGAGAGCGGCUACGCUGGACGUAGCAGCGUAGCAGCUCUGGCCGCGUAGCAUUCGUAGAUAAAGCAAGGUUACUACCGCAGACCUUAACCCAGGGUUAAUUUUGCGUUAAACCACUAUCUACAAAAAUAAAUUAAAUCUAGUCGCGUUAUCCAACAACGUACGUUGCAAAAAUAAUAUUCUUAAAAAAAAUAUUCGAUUUGGAUAAAGUUGUUAGUAAUUUCACAGUAGAGUAUUGGUAAGUAAACCAUUAACUUUCGUAGAGUAUCGAUUAGUUAUAGAAGAAGUUAUUUCUUGCCGCAGGGACGCUCUGGCCCCUUCUCCAACAAGACCUAGUAAAGCCUAGCAAUAGAACGGGCGCGACUCAUUCGGAAUGUUUUCUAUAUCAAUGUAAAAUCAAACAAGUGAAUAAAGACUAAAUGAAUAUAAUAUUAAUAUUUUCCCGUCCUAGUUAGGUUGUUAGGUACAUACUAGUUUAUCCAAAAACUUCAUGACAUUUUGUAAUUUAUAAAAAUGUAUAGGAAAGUUUUGUAUAUUAUUAAUAAAAAACAUAAAUAAAAAUA